UGAUCUGCGGCGGGAGAGUUCUGCCGGAAGUACAGGCAGGCGCCGUAGGAGCAAAUCCUCCCCAGGAAUCUCGCAGGCCCCUGUACCGCCGCGGCGAG
rnacentral:ncRNA from 1 species